AUUACGAGUCCCAAAUAGGACGAAACGCGCGUCCUGGAU
rnacentral:hammerhead_ribozyme from 1 species